rnacentral:rRNA from 1 species
GACGAACGCUGGCGGCGUGCCUAACACAUGCAAGUCGAGCGGGAACCUCCCGAGGGGUAACCCUUCCGAGGGGAGAGCGGCUAACGGGUGAGUAACACGUGGGCAACCUGCCCCGGACACCGGGAUAACCCAAGGAAACCUGAGCUAAUACCGGAUACUCCGGCGCGAUCGCUUGGUCGCGCCGGGAAAGCUCCGACGGUCCGGGAUGGGCCCGCGGCCUAUCUUCUUGUUGGUGGGGUAACGGCCCACCAAGGCGACGACGGGUAGCUGGUCUGAGAGGACGGCCUUCCCCACUGGGACUGAGACACGGCCCAGACUCCUACGGGAGGCAGCAGUGGGGGAUCUUGCGCUAAUGCGCGAAAGCGUGACGCAGCGACGCCGCGUGGGGGAUGAAGGCCUUCGGGUUGUAAACCCCUUUCGGCAGGGACGAAGGGAAACUGACGGUACCUGCAGAAGAAGUCCCGGCUAACUACGUGC